UACGUAGGGGGCAAGCGUUGUCCGGAAUCAUUGGGCGUAAAGAGCGUGUAGGCGGCCAGAUAAGUCCGCUGUGAAAUCUCGAGGCUCAACUUCGAGCUGUCGGUGGAAACUGUCUGGCUAGAGUCCGGAAGAGGAGAAUGGAAUUCCUGGUGUAGCGGUGAAAUGCGCAGAUAUCAGGAAGAACACCCGUGGCGAAAGCGGCUCUCUGGAACGGUACUGACGCUGAGACGCGAAAGCGUGGGGAGCAAACAGG
rnacentral:rRNA from 1 species